GGGCCAUGGCUCAGUGGCAGAGCAUCAGUUUUGCAGGCCGAAGGUCCCAGGUUCAAUCCCCGGCAUCUUCA